rnacentral:lncRNA from 1 species
AUCCAUUUCUUUUGCUCAGUUUAGGUGCUGCUUCAAGUUUUAUACCCUGUUUACCCUCUCGAUUGACGCUUCCCCUUUCCCUCUUCUGUUCCUUCCUUCUAGCUUGGGGUUUUUGCCGAUUUGCUCCCUCUGUCUCUCAACCUUUUCUUUUCUUUUUCUUUACAACAUUACGCUUGGCCUUCUCAACCUUUUCUUUUCUUUUUCUCUCUGUCACUCUUUCGCUUGCUCUCAGUUGGUGGGUUUCCAAGUUACUGCAACUGAAAGGUAAAGGUUUCUAACUCUCUUUUGCUCUCAAACUGCUUUAAUGUUUGCAGCUCUAAAUUUAUCGUUGUUUUUUUCCCUGCUGAUCCAUUUCAAGAAAAUGGGCUUUUUUUCUGCUUCACAUUUUAUUUUGAGUGGUUAUUUUCCUUCUUUACCAUGUAAAAUUUUAAGUUUGAUUGGUUUACUUUGAUGGGUUUGUGUUGUUGGAUUAAUUUCUAUGGAUUCCUGUAUUUUGAUUAGCUUAAGUUCCGAGUAGAGUUUUAUUUCUUGGACAUGAAAAGACGAAUAGGGCAAAUUGUUUAAUGAAUGAUCUACAGAAUCACUUCUUUUACCAACCGACCUCAUCUUCAAGCAGUCUGUCACACCAUUUCAAAAUGUAAAAGCAAACAGAUGUUUCACAUCAAGAAAUCUUCCUUGAAAGUAAGCUUUUAUUAUUAUUAAAUAAAACUACAGCAUAGGCACAACUCUUACUGCUUUAGAGCAUACUAUGAUUUCUAUUUCCUCCUCUUCCUUCCGUCUUUUUCAAGCAUAAUUGUUUCAGUUAAUGCAGCUUAAAAACCUUCAGCUUAACAAAUUGACUUACACAAGACAAACACAAUUCUAACAGGCUUCACUGACACGUUGUUAAAGCAUGCUAGAGUCCAUAACCCAUGCAUGGUGUGUGUAAUUCUUGGAUAACCUAGACCUAUCCAGUCUCUAAGGCUACUAUUUAGGAGCAAAUUUUUAAGAUUUUUGCUGGAACUUUGAAUUUUCACUCAGUUGGAAAGAAACUGAAAAAAGCAAAUAUGAGUUUCCAUCCACAAUAACAAAAACCGAUCUUUCAAAUUGAAAAGAUUACCAGAGAGAAAAUGAAAAAGAUGAAAGAUGUGAGUUCACUUAAUGCAAAUUUAGAAGAUAUGCCAUCCUUCUCUUAAUCGUUGUUUCUUUUCACUUACAAAAUAUAUGCCAAUAAACUAACGUUAAUUUUAUUGUCUUCUUCUUUUCAAUUGCGAAUGUGUACUCAAGAAGUUCAAAGUGACCUAGGACCAGAGGUAGUGUCAACACCGGCAUACUUUAAGUAGGAUGCAUGAUUCCCACUAGUUUCAAUACAAGAUUCUCAACGCUCAAGGGACAUCAUAUCAUGCCUAUACAUGCCCUGCACUUCUGUUAAAUGAGAAAUCCAACUAGCAGGGCAGCAAUUUCCACUGCUGGUUAUAUUUUGUUUGGUUCCUUUUUCAUGUCUAUGGUUAUGGUUCAUGUUGUUGUUGCAUUUGUUUUUAUUUCACCGAAAAUAUGUUUUGAGAGGAAUUGGAGUCCCUGAUUUGAAUAUCCUUAUGCUGCUUAACC